GGAGCCUGUAAUUCAGUGGUUGUCAUUUUUUGUUGUGUUGCAUAUUUUUUUAAAAAUUAUUUUGUACAUAAUUAGGCCAUUUGUUUUCUCGUUUUAAUUUAUUAAAAUUUGUCAUUUCGGUUUUUUUUUAUAGUUUACUUUGCAGUUUGGGCUUUGUUCACGUAAUGUUGAAGGCCGUAGGUUAUAGUUGUGUUAAUUUCUGUGUCAUUUUGGUCUCUUUGGGAGAGUUGUCUCGUUGACAAUCAUACCAUAUCUCCUUUUUUUUUAUAUAUAUAUAGAACGGUAAUUCAUCGACUCUGGUUGAAGAUGAUAUUAAUCAUAGAACAGAUUACAGAAGGAUCACCUAUUAAAAAUUACUGUUUGCUCGUUUCAUCAGUUUGUUUCUAUAUUUACAAUAACUAAUAAGGAAUUCAU
rnacentral:lncRNA from 1 species